GCUGGGAUGGCAGAGUGGACAAUUGCAACGGUCUGUAAAACCGUCGCCCGCAAGGGCUCCGCAGGUUCGAAUCCUGCUCCCAGCA
rnacentral:tRNA from 1 species